GUGGGCGGGAGAGCAGAGGGUUUGU
rnacentral:piRNA from 1 species